rnacentral:rRNA from 1 species
UAAAUCAGUUAUGGUUCACUAGAUCGUACCGUUUACACGGAUAACUGUGGUAAUUCUAGAGCUAAUACGUGCAACCAGCUCGCUUCCUUGUGGAGCGAGCGCAGUUAUUAGAACAAGACCAAUCCGGCCUUCGGGUCGGUAUAAUUGGUGACUCUGAAUAACCGAAGCGGAGCGCAUGGUCUCGUACCGGCGCCAGAUCUUUCAAGUGUCUGACUUAUCAGCUUGUUGUUAGGUUACGUUCCUAACAAGGCGUCAACGGGUGACGGGGUAUUAGGGUCCGAUACCGGAGAGGGAGCCUGAGAAACGGCUACCACAUCCAAGGAAGGCAGCAGGCGCGCAAAUUACCCACUCCCGGCACGGGGAGGUAGUGACGAAAAAUAACGAUGCGAGGGCUCAAUGCUUCUCGUAAUCGGAAUGGGUACACUUUAAAUCCUUUAACGAGGAUCUAUUGGAGGGCAAGUCUGGUGCCAGCAGCCGCGGUAAUUCCAGCUCCAAUAGCGUAUAUUAAAGUUGCUGCGGUUAAAAAGCUCGUAGUUGGAUCUGGGCAGUUGGACGGAUGGUGCGCUUUACAGCGCUACUGUCUGUUCGGCGCCACAAGCCGGCCAUGUCUUGCAUGCUCUUCACUGGGUGUGCUUGGCGACCGGAACGUUUACUUUGAAAAAAUUAGAGUGCUCAAAGCAGGCGUACGGCCUUGCAUAAUGGUGCAUGGAAUAAUGGAAUAGGACCUCGGUUCUAUUUUGUUGGUUUUCGGAACUCGAGGUAAUGAUUAAAAGGAACAGACGGGGGCAUU